GCACUUCAAGAAAAUCUUCCCUACCUCUUAUCCCCACAGGCAGAUCCAUGUGAUACGAAUGAAUAGAGAUGACAGACUUCUGUCUAAACGUACAGUUUCCCCGUGGCCCCCGAUAAGCAGGUCGCCCGUGCAACCGAAGCACAGUUUCAAAGCACCGGUUACACCAAAAACUGUGUGUGCCUAAUGUCAGGAUUUUCGCUCUCUCUCUUCUUUUUUUUCUUUUCGGUCUCUUCCUCAAAGUGUUUCCUCCCCCGGCCUUCCCCCUCCCCCUCGGGCUCUUUCGUUUUAAUCGAUGCCAGGAGAAAAUGCCUCUACCUGCAAGAAAGGCGCACGAUGGCACCUGGGGAUAGGAGUCGUCCGACGGCAGCGGAUCACUGGAGGCAAACAUCGAAUUAAUUGGAUCUCAAUGACUGAGCCUGACAUUGGAAUAGCCAUGUGUGUUUCCUGUACAACUAGAGGGCCUUCCUUGCACUAUUUUGUAAAAGCAAAUACCACUCUUCUAAGCCCAGUGAUUAUUUUUUCAAGGUUAGUAAUGACGCAUAUUCCUAAUGUUUAUUGUUGCUAAAGACUUUCAGACUGACUGCAGGUCUGGCACUUUCUAUGAAGAGUCAUUUUCAGAUGUGUCCUCCCUUUCUUUGAAAGUACCGGCUUGAGCAAAGUGAGGUGAGGCAAGGCAACCCCAGCUGGAAACCAACGCUUUUUAAAGUUUCUCUGCUCUUUCGAUUAAUACUCGAUUUUUCACAAAUAAUAUGACAUUGAAAAAUGAACGAUAUGAUAAGCUGUAUUAUUAGGCUAUAGACAUAUUGGGGACCCAAUGCAGUGGCAUGAAUGUGAAAUUUACUUUUGAUACUUGUGGAAGUCGAAUCUGGCCAUUCAUGAAUUAGAUAGUAGUGUCCAUAUGGCAUUGGUCUCAAACUCAUUUCCAACGUUCAUAGCAGUUUGAGUUAAAAGAUAGUUUUUGGGUUUGGUUUGUGGUUGGGGUUUGGGUUUUGUUUUGGUUUUGAUUUUUUUGGGUGGGUUUUUUUUGUUUUGAUUUUUUAUUGGUUGUUGGUUGGUUUUGGUUUUUUUUUGGUUUUUUUUUUUUUUUUUUUUUUCUCCUCACAAAGUCAGUUUUGUUUUGUGCUUUAGAAACUAUGUAGACAUUGAGAACAGAUAUCAGUGAAUUUCGUGUUUCCAAGUGUGGCAGAAUCGUCUUUGCAUACCUUCCUCUGAAACCAGCGAUAGAAAGCAAAGAGAGAAAGAAGUAAAGAGAGGGAGAGAGAGGAAGAAGGGGAAAAAAGACAAUUCGGCCCCGCUAAAUUAGGUAGCAGAUCUAUAACUAAGAAACCAUACAAUCAUAUUUAACAAGCAUCUGAUUAAUGCUCUGGGCAAUUUCAAACAUGGCUUUGUUCAGACUAUAUGACUUGAAACACAUCAUUUCCCGGACCAGUGUGAACGCUGGAGACUCAAAACCAAAAUGUCCCUACCGUUUUCCUUAACUCCUUACAUGAGAAGAAAAGGGACAUAGGUUCAUUCCCACGGAGGAAAGAGAGAGGAGAACGAAAGACAAAGCACAAGGACAUACGCCUCCGGAGCACAACAGCACAGAAGUCUGCACCCUGAGAACCAGGGAACAUUUCUCAUCCCCCUGAAAGACUAAUGCCCUCCUCCUGCCACUGCAAUUUCCUUUGCAACAAAGCCGUACAUUAAGUGGGCAUGGUGGAUAGUAAGGACCUACCAGUUUCUUGCUGGAGUUCUGCUAAUAAAUAAAAUUCUAAAUGUUCAAAACACUCUAUCUGUCACAUUCACAAGAUAGGUACUGUAAAUUCCUGUUGAAAAUAUACAAACAGAGAUCCAAGAGGUUGCCUCUGUUUUUGUAUCUCUCUCUCACAAGAAAUGCUCUAUCAAAACAUUAAUUAUAUUUGAAAGGGAACAGAUUAUUUGUUUGAGAAAGAAUUACAUUCUUGAAUUUAUAUUCCACGCAGACCUCUCCUCCUGUCUGCUGAGAGGGUUGAACUGUAAAUCUGCCUCAAAUUAUUUACCCCUAAAAUGUAAGUAGGUGUGUCAUAUUAGAGUAGUAGAGAGAUGAGAGAUAAUCUGUAGGUGCUUUUAGACACCUCUGUGGGAUGGGUCGUUAGGGAAUGUCGGAAUGAACACGAAAUUGCAAAUCUAACAUGUGAAGAACAUACACGCUUAUUCUUUGACAAUGAAAAUACAAACGCACAUAGAGAUGCAGAGUUGAACCUAGUUGGUUAUUAAACAUGAUGACUCACGGGAGUUUGGGCCCGCAGUUCCUUUUUGUUUAGUUGGUUUUGCUUUGGUGUUUCUUUUUGUUGUUGUUUUUUGGGUUUUGUUUGGGUUUUUUUGUUUGUUUUGGCUUUUUUUUUAACGCUUUCAUGCACAUCUUAUAGUAGCCGAUAGUUGAAAAGCUACUGACCGUGUGGUGAGUCAUCACGUAAGUCAAGAGAAAACUCUUAAAGAUUGUACCUUCUUUCAUGCUUUAAAAAACAAUAAUAAAAGGGUUAAAUAGGUGCCCUCAUACCAUUGCCUUUUUUCUGAGAAAAAUAGUGAUUUAGUGGGACUUUAUUAGGAGCUCUUGGAAAACUCUCCUUGAAGUCACCUUUUUGCACUCUCUGCUAGCCAGACCUUCAGCAUUUCCUAACCUACCUCCAGACAAGUGUUUUGGCAGGAAUUGAUGUGAACAGUCCGGUCAGAAAGUUUUUUGGUGCUGUUGCGUCAUGCUUGGGGAAAUCCGUCACUGAAUCAGUGCCCUUAGUUUGGGACCCGGGGAAACCGUGUUAGCACCAGGUCCUGCAGAGCUGAGCCCUUUUCUCUAUUCCUGUAUUUCUUGAGCCCUGGGAAACCGAAGCCAUGGGGCCUGAAGGGCGGUCGCAGGGAGCACGGGAAGGUGGGGGUGGGCGGACUUUUCUGCCUUGGAUGUGCCUGGGAUGUGCUCUCUCCCUGAUUAGGUAUCUGUGGAGGAAGAAGGUGACGUGACGAGAAAAGCCUGACAGCCAAAGUGGGAACUGUCCGGGAGAAGGAUCCGUGAUGAAUGAGGUCUGCGAAGUCAUGAUGCACAAGCAGCCCAGGACAGUGUGCUGUUAUCAAAUGCCGGGUUUUGUUCGCUAGAAUCAUAAAGAAAAGUGGGGAGGGGGCGGCGGGGUGGCGGGGGAGGGAGAUGAAGGUGAGGUGGGGGAGGGGAAUCCUGGAGAGGGGGUCAGUGAGGACUGGGAGAUCGGAGAAAUCAGUGGCUGUAAUGUUAGCGCGAGUUCAUCGUCUCCCUGGGAGAAGGAGAAGCUGCAUUUGUCAAAUGGGCUAGAGCCCUGACGGGAGGCAGAGGCGCCAUCGGAGCGCUCCGAGAUGCGGCUGUGAAAUGUGGAUCCUGACCGACCCGAGGGACAGUACUUUAUAACAUAAUCUAUCCCAAAGUCUUCCAGGCAGGUGUACGAGGUUUAGUCAGGCUCUUCAACAAUCUCCGACUCAUCGUAGAGAGCAAGUUCUGCCCCGGGGCAGGGGAUAGGAUGGGAAAAGCAGUUGUGAAGUCUUACUACAUAAACUAAAAUCCUACUAAAAUUACAAACAUUGUUUUAUUCCUGGAGUAAUUUCGUGCAGAACUGGAGCUUCUUCCUUAGGUUAGGCGGGAAGGGCUGCCGUGGACAAGCCUGUAACUUCUUGAAUUGUUUUUGACCGUGCACUGUAUUGCCGUAAUGCCAAUAAACGCUUUAAACGCGUCCUGCUAGCGGCCAUCAGACGCUCCAGCCCCUCAGGCCCGGUCCAAAGGACAUCUGGCCCGGUUCGGGACUUCUGGGUCACUCCCUACCUUCGGGCGCUCCUGGUGCUCUGGGAAAAUGUGGCUGGGUGGGCCGGGGUCUGUUACACUGACCUCCGGGUUUUCUUUCCUCGGAGGGGCCAGCCUUGGCUUGCAGGGGGUCGCAGAGGCAAGCGCUCACUUCGUAUCAGUGGGUUCAGGAUCUCAGGACGUUGAGUUUAGCGGCCGGAGACAGCCCUGCCUGAUUUGUGCCGGACUUGCUGUCUGCCUGCGAGGAGACACAGCUCUCCCAGGCACGGAUUCCCUGGUGGGUAGCAUGGCCCAUAUCGCUCGCCCUUUCAGUGAAUGCCAGCAGAUGGAUGCAAUUAAACCUCGGCGGUGCUCCCUAGCUGGACACCGAUCCAGGGUGGCAGAGGGUUGGCCAUUAUGCAGCGCCUAUGGGUCGGUGUUCACUGCCGACAGCUGUAACAGGGAGGAGGACCGAAUCAUGGGUGCUCCCAACUUUCCCGUCUCACAAAAGCGACGAGGGCACGACAGGACCCCAAAGGCUCAUGAUAGAAAAAGCCAAAAGCCAAAAAAAAAAAAAAAAAAGAAAAUAAAAGAAAAAAGAAAAAAGAAAGCACCACCACGUAUUGGGAAAACUCAAAUAUCUAUGUAAUGUUAUUAAAAAUAAUAAAAUCCCAGCAACACAACGGUCUCUUUUAAAGGGAAUCUGAGGAGCGCAGUGAGCUAAGUGAAAGCUCUGUUUUCAAGGCAAGGCAGGAUUAGUUCCCUGCACAUAAUAGCCAGUGUGUAGGAAUUGCAAAUGAACAUCACCAGCAGUGCUGGAGUUACCCUCUUUAAAUUAAUAUCGAGCUGGCUUCCCUGCGCAACGUGUAAAUAACAGACAUUUCUCAGCUAUCGAGGAGAAUGAAGAUUGAAAUAAACAUGUAUUUAUAUUUCCCCGUAGCUUAAUCCAAGAAACUCCUUUCCCGGGGUAGCCAGUCAGCAGUGGAGGAAUUCGGGGCAACGCCCCCCCGACCUGUUUUGCGGGUUAAAAACCACAUCAACAAAGCAGCAGCAGAGCCCCGAGCCGUACGGACGGCCGCACAGACAGGGUAAGCCCGAUCCCGGGCUCGGCGGGCUCCGCUGCCUCGGGCGGCCCCGAGCUCGGUCCGGCGGCGGGGCCGGGCGCCGCUGCCCCGCCCGGGCUCGCCCCGCUCAGCGGGGCCCCCUCGGCCGCGCUCCGUGCACCGACCGCGGGCCCGGCCCCAGCACCCGGCUGAAGCCUUUCCUCCAUCCCGUCAGCGGCCGUGCGAAAGGGGAAGGUAAUACAGCUGAUCUCCCGCCGUAAAGAGGGAGAGAGAGAAUGCUGUGAGCUCCAGGGCUCUUUCAGACACUUCAGAAAUUAGUGGGGGAGGGGAAGGGGCUAGGGCUAGGAAGGAUAGAUGCAUUGGAAACGGUAAAAUAAAAACAUGAUGUGAAGAUAUAUUUACUGUCAGCUCAGAGCCAAAACAUUUAUGCUCCCACGCCUUUUUUUUUUUUUUUUUUUUUUUUUUUUUUUUUAGCAAAUCGGAACUUAAGUGAUGCAUUUUAAUUAUUUUAGGAAAAUAAGCAAGAAGGCUCUUUUUCCGAGUCUAAAUAAAUAGCAGAGUGUUCUGCGCUGAUGAUGUCUCUGGCUCGUGAUGGCCUCAUCUAUCCAGCCACUACCGUGAGCUCUGAAAACCCGGGAAGAAUGGGGUGUUACUGGCAAUUUCUGAAAGGAACUUUCUAUUAUUUUUAGGGUAUUCUGAAACAGAAAAUGCAAAGAAUUUUCUGAUCGUCUGAGAGGUGAAAAAGGACCAAUAUUUUCCUAAAGCUUCAGCUCAUAUUUCUUAGGCCUUAUGGGAAUAACAAUUUUCCUUAUUUUUCAAAUAGUUAUUUCAACUCCUUGCAAGUAGUGGGAAAAAGGUACACAUUACCCUAAAAGAGAAGGCACUGGAGGCCUUGCAGUCUCUGAGAUCAGCUUAGUGAUUUAUUUUUCUCCCCACUCCCCUGUCUCUCACCAAUCCCCAACUUUGAUCUAAACCCUGACAACUUUCUUCCUGCAUACUUGUCCCUAAUCUUCAAGAGAUUGCACAGACUUAAAGGAGAGUGAUACUCUGAAGAGCCACAUUUUAUUUUGGGGAGAUGGGAGGAGGAUAACCCUACUUCACCUAGAAGUAGUUCCCGUUUGAUUGUAAUUGGAAAAAAAUCCAAACCCCAAAACCCACCCCCUAAAUCCCAAAGAAAAAACCAAGCACAAAACAAAUCCCAAAGCAUGUGAGAAUGCAGUAAAACAGAGCCUCCUUAUGUUAACAUUUAAAGAAAAUAAUGAAAAAGUGAAGUACAAUUGUAGGGAACAUCAAACCACACACACACACAAGCAGCAGAAAAUAUCAGUCCUAAUUUUUGUGGUUAAAAAAUUGAAUCAAUUAUAGGUUUCAGUUUUCUGCAGGAACACCUAAAAUAUUUAUGACCAGCAGGGCUUAUUACACAGUCUUCUUUUCGAACAGGAUAUCUUUUCUCAUCUUUAGUAAAGAUUUUCAUAAUGUUUCUCUUGCUCCUCUCCUCUACACUGACUUCCAUUUAGGGUAAAUGCUGUCACUCAAACAUAGCAUCCUGUUCCUGUCAGCUCAAAUGAACUCAGUGAAAAGUUCAGUGUAACUACAGGCGAAAUCCUUUUUUUUUUUUUCUCUUCGUGGUGUGUUUACAUUGCAUCUUCAAGAUUCAUCUAUGGAAAGCCCAGAGUUGUGACUUUGGACUCUGUGCCAUCACUCUAAGUGGUGCAGAAACUGCCAAAAAAGGGGAGAGCUAGUAAAGUCACAUGUUUUUGGUUCCUGAUUCAAGCAGAACAGCAGCAUCAGCAACAGCAACAUUAAGACUUUAUCAAGGGAAAAAAAGAUAGAAGGAAGAAGAAAGAAAGCCUAACAGCAGUGAAAGAAAGCAAGCAGAAGUGUUUUGCAGACCAGAAUGGCACUACUGAUUUCCAGCCUACAUGGUUCUUACCUCAAAAAUGGCACAGACCACAGCUUGCAGUACCCAGAAGGGUGACAAGAGAAAGUAGUGGAGGUCUCUGGGUGUCUGAUCAGUCUGUUUUGCAACACAUGAACCAACCUUUGUUAAUGUCUCUUAAGAGUUUUUUGACAUGCUCCCCUACAAGCAAAGCAGAAAAGUGCUCUCUGCCUUGUUUCCAUGUACAUCCUAAGGUGCUCCAGACUUUCUCUGUAAAAUUCCACCAUGAUCCCCAUUGAAACUAUGAAAUAGUGCUGUUGGUUUACAGGGGGAAACUUGGGCAUCAGGACUUGUGUAAGCAGGUGUGUACAAGUAAGCAUGUGUGAGACCUAGCUGCUUAUUCACUCAGAAGGACCACCUCUAUCUCUCUCUUCCUACAACACAAUAGAAUUACUGACACUUCCAUUUACACUCCUGUUCUGCCGGAGUCCAUCGAAUCUUGGCCUCCUUGCCUGGUGACCCUGAAGUAUCAAAGGAAGAAAGAGGCAAAAAAUGAAAAGUUGCAAAAAAAAAAAAAAAAAGGUUUAAAUGUACUUGAAAUGUUCCUAAUUGAUGGAAACAGGUGGAAAAUAUUUUUGAGAUUAUUUACGUAAAUGUUGGAAGCCCCAUGGAUCUAAUAAUUCAAUGCCAAGUCUGCAACCCCCCCUCCCCCGAGAUUAAUGCAAUCUGAGCAAUGUCCUUUCAUUGAAAGGAAAUAGAUUAACUUCUUCUGUAGAUCUUUCUUCUGUAAAUUUUUAGAAUUGAUACUUUCACAAAAACAUAAGCCAAGUUAUAUACUACCUUGGUAUGUUCAGUUAAAAAAUCAAAUAUUUCAGAUUUUUUGAUGGAGCUGAAGCCAAAAAAGAAGCAUCAAAACCAAUGUUGACGACGUUGAACAAUGUUGAUUUACAGUGUUAUCAUUACACUUCAGAAAUAACAGAGUACUGCCAAGAAAAGGAGUUUUUCAAUCUUCCUUUAGGUCUAUUGAUCAGGAGUGACUUUGAAACUUCCUUCUGGCAUCUAGAAUUCGUUCACUACUAUUGAAAACCUGCUUGAAGUUUGGAGGAGCUAAAAAUCUCACAAUUAAUGAAUUAGUUAAUAAUGAACUGGUAGGAACUGCAAAAAUUACUGAAGCCAUGAGACAAAAAGAUCUGUUCUCUUUCUUUUGUUGAUCUAGUAUUGAAAUAUCAUUAAAAGCACUGCUCCCUUUGCUCAUACCAAUCUUCAUGAAAAUAAUCCUCCAGUCUGGAUGUAUGUAUUUGGAUUUUAUUUAUUAGGGAUGGGAACUUUUCUCAAAUUCUAUUAUUUGUUUUGGUUACUUGCUCAUUGAUAACAGUAAGUGUUCUGGGGCAGUUGUUGCAAGAUACUUGAACUCAGCACCCUAUAGGAGUUUCAGAUAUUCUCUGGGUAGAUUAUGUGCCUGGUGGGAACUGGUUUAUGUACUGAUUAAGAAGAACACUUAAAUAACCUGGCCAAUGAUUUAGAGAAUGUUCUGCAUAACUGUGUAUUUUUCCAUAAGUGGGACCACCCUCCAUGCCAUGUAGAGACAUGAUUUCUGCAUAUGCAGUGUGGAACAGGAAGUCUGAUGAAAGAAUAUAUGACACUCCUGUAUGCAGAAAGAGGAAGAAAAUCUGCUCCUGAUGUGUGGCAGUCCUUUAAGAGAUACACUUUUUGAGGAUGAGGAAGAUCCUGAUUUACUCCUCUGCACUGAAGUAAAAGCAGUGCUAUCAGCAUGUAGGCUCCAUGCCCAGCCUGAUCUCAGGUUUGCAGUUUUGCUUUUCUGACUGCUCUUGCAAAGUUAAGUUCCUCUGCUCCGGGACUGAGUGUGAAGAAGCAGCCAUGUCGAGGCCAAUUCUCUUGGAACAUGGGCCUGAAUUAGCUUUCAGAGCUAUUUCAAAAGCCUGUGUCAGGCUAGAGUUUCCAAUGUUGAGUUUAACCAAUGCUUUUCUUCAUGAAGGCAUAAUUAGGAAAGGACAAUUGAAAUACUUUACAUCCAGAAUGCUGCAGAAGGUUGCAGCCUAGAAAGCCAACCAUUUCAAAUCUUCUAAAGCAGAAUGAGAAGGUUGAGGGAGGUGAUACUGACCCUCUACCCUGCUUUGGUGAGACCUCACCUUGAGUACUACUUCCAUCUCUGGGGUCUCCAGUCCAGGAAAGACAUGAGCCUUCAGGAGCAGGUUCACAGAAACACCAGCAAGAUGAUUAGAAGGAUGGAGCACCUCUCCUAUGAGGAAAGGCUGAGAGAAUUUGUUUUAUUCAGCCUGGAAAAGAGAAGGGUUCAGGGUGACAGAGUUGCAGCCUUCCAGUACUUGAAGGGAGCCUACAAGAAAACUGAAGGGGGAGUUUUUACACAAGCAUAUAGUGACAGGACAAGGGGAAAUGGCUUCAGACUGAAUGAGAUUAGGACCUCUUCAAACCCAAACUAUUCUAUUAGUCUGUAAAGUACUAUACACUUUUCUGUUGAAAUUAAUCACUGUAGAAAAGAUAGUGUGUCCUAAAAACAAGGCAACAAAGGGGAAUUCACCAUUGCUUGUCUUGUAAAUAAGGACCAGAGACCAUGACAUGGUAGCUCUCCUUUACUGAGGAAUCUCCAGAUGUGCAGGGCAUUUGUUUUUAUUUUAGGUUUUCAUGUUUCACUUGGUGAACUUCUCUUUUGGAUCUGUAAGUAUCUAAUAUAUUUAUCUGCAAUUAAUCUAUGAGUGCUCUAACUGUACUGAGAUUUGUCACUCCAAAUCCAAACUCCAGUUGUAGGUUAAAUAUUCACGCCUAAAAGUAGAAAACCAAAGGCCUGGCAUCUCAUUCUAAGAGUUAUUUUCAAGUGUGCACAAUACUACUGGCUAAAUGGACAGAGAAGCAUUUGUCCAGGACUUGUAUAAAGGUAGCUGGGAUGGUCUGCUUUAGGCUGCUGCAAUUUUUAGGCACUAAACUAAGACAAGAAGCUUCCAAUUUAAUAAAAAGUGAUUUGAAAGUUGCUAAGCAACUUAUAGAAUCUUGCUUUUUAAGAAGUCCAUUUAUUUGCUUAAUUUCAGGAAAAGGUUGCAUGUUAUUAUGUAAGUUGCAUAAAUAAAAAGAGAAAAGCAAAAAGGAAAUGUAAUAGGAAAUUUUCUUUGCUUUCUGUCUUUUGCAAUUAAAACCCUUUUAGUUGUUUUGUGGGGUUUCAUCAGGUAUUCAACAAAUGUUAUUUAUGUAUAAAACUUCAGGAGUUUAUUGACUAUGCAAGAAAGGAAAAAAAUUAAACAGGUUUGUCAUAUGGUAUGUGUUUAUCUUAACCUUUCUUCUUCAAAAAUCUUAUCUACUAAGUACUUUUAUCAGACACUAAUUAUACUCCCUCUGAAAAGAAUUUCUCCAACACCCUUCAGUGCCUACACCCUUUAAUCAUAUCUCAUUACAUCUACCUAAUCCAUCUCUUUCUCGCAUUGCCAGUGCUCAUUAAUAGUUUUAAAAGCCAGUCCUGGAUAUUAUCUUUCCUUUCUGUAGAAAGACAAAAAAUACCAAUACUGUUUUAUUCCUAGAUUUCAUAGCCAUUUGUAAUUAGAUAAAAAAUUAUCUGAAAAUAUUGAGGGUUUUUUUCAGGAAAAUAACUCUAAAGUAUGUGACAGAACAGCAAUAAAAUCUUAUAGGUCCUUUCACAAAUUGUUGUUUUUAUAAGCUAUUUUAACAGUGGAUCAAUGACCACUUUGAAAGGAAGUGAUUUUUGGCUAAAAUUUAACAGAUACUGUGCUUAACAGAUAUUUUAUAGGUGAGACAUGUAUCACCUUGUAAACAAAGUGGGUGACCCAAAGGAUUUCUACAUGAUUGUGAGAGGGAAAAAAAAAAGAAAUUAUGCAUAAAACAAAAGACCUUCCAUUAUUCUUUUGCCCUGUGCAUGCCUUAUAUCAGUGCAGCUUGAAAAGCUUAUAUAAAGUGUCUCCAGUAUAGUGACAGCUAAAGUGAACUGAUUGACACAGAAUGAAUAAUUGGUCAAAAUUUUUUUUUUCUGUUCUCCAAUUGUUUGCAAACAGGCUACAAAAUUCUUUACUACUGUUACACAUUAAAACUAUUUGUAAAUCACUUCAGUGAGUAAUCAUCAAUCUAGAGACCCUCCCGUUUGUUGUGAGUUUUGACAAUUUGUAAUCUACAUUUUAUUAAUUCAUUAAGUAGCCUAUGUGAAUUUGUGCUCCUAUUUUCAGGAUAGAUAGGUCUACAUUAUGCCAGCUUGCCUCACCUGAAAAUCUGAGCAGAGUACUGGUUAAUUUUCCAAAGUUAAUAUGUCAUGGUCAUGGUUUUGAGGUAAAACCAGUUGCCAAAUUUUAACUAGGAAGAUUAUUUUCCCCAGAUCUGAUUAGAAGAACUACUGAGAGGUUAUUUUCAUCUUCUUUUGUAAUGAAUAAUAUUACCAUGUUCUAUGGAUUAUCUGGCAGUUUUAUUCAAUAUAUUGCAAUUAUAAUUUCAAGAACCUGUGACAUUUUUUCUCAUACUCUGAUACACCUUAAUUCUAGCUUUUAACUAAAUCCCAAAUUAAGUUAAUACCAUGAUUGAGAAAGUGCUUAUUUGUUUCUUUGUUUUUUAAAGAACUAUGGACACAGAGUAUACAUCCAUUCACACUUGAUUCCUUGGAGGUAGGAAGAGCAAGCACAAUUUCCUGAAUUUCAGGAAUCUUGGGUUGACCAAGGCAAUUUUGUAUAACUGUUGCAUCUAUUUAAUGACUAACUGUGGCUAUAGGGCAGCCAUAUGGAUCUUUUCAGUCCCAUCUUCUUAUAGAAAAUUCAGAAUUUAUAUUUUACUCUGAAAUUAAAAUAUGUUUGCAGGCAAUACAACUGAUAUGUCAUACAAAUACAUUCAGAAUAACUGACAUUAUUCACAAAGCAAAUGAAUAUAAUCUGGAGUGUCAUCUGUAAAUAUGGUACUGGUUUGCUAUGUUUGUAAUUACUGCUUCUUUUCACUGAAGAGCUGAUUUAUGUAGGUCAACACAAUAUAUGAAAAAAUUGUAGAUAUAAAAGUUACAGUCAACCGAAACUUGCUUUUAGAACUAUGAAUGAAUUCAAGCUGAAAAAUAUUUUUGUAAGUAUUUCUUAUUACAGAACAAUUGUAUUGUUUUCAGGAAGCAAACAGAAAAUGUCAUACCUUGAGUAAACCUAAAGGCAAUGUGUUAUUUCCCAAUCUGUAAAAAUAUGUAUGGUUUGAGAUGUCUUUUUGUUUCACACUGAAAAUAAAACUCUUUGGAACACUUUUAUGUAAUAAAAUUGCAUACAUCUGUUUUGGAACCAAA